CGUUAGCAAGAUUUGGCGGGAGAGUUCGCUUAGGGAGGCCAACCCACGCGCAGUUACCGCCAAGAAUUAGCCGCGAGUGGGGGUGCGCUUCCCUUGCUGCCUUUCUCUUCCUUUGUUCUGCUCUGUUUGUUGUCGCAGUACAAGAGAAGAGUGCAGAUAAAUAGUUUGUGAUCCCAGGAGAACACAAGAAUCCGUGAUAUGAAGAAAAAACUGGGAAAAGAGAAGAAAAAAGAAGAAAAGAGGAGGAGAAAGAGAAGAUGAAUGAAAUGAAGUCCAUCAUUACAGAAGAAGAGGAAGCAGAGGAAGAGGCAGCCCUAUACCUCUCAAGAAACUACAAGGUUCUUCACUAGUUCACAUCUGUUAUACCUGAAGCUGCACCGGAUGGGCACCAGUUGGCUCUCAGGGGAUGUGUUCUACUGAUCACACCCAUCAUCGGAGGGUCCAGGAAGGGCAGUUCUCUCUCUCCACGUUUACUGAUGAGGACUUGGCCGUCAGUGAUGCCCGCAGGCGACCAGCUGGUUAACCCACACUACCAGCAAGUGAGCAUCGGCUUUGGUUCUUAAUAUGGCAAUGAUUACUGAUACUUUACACAUGUUACGCGUUUUCAUGCAAGCACAAAACUGUUGAACAUUUCACUCAUGAUUACUGAGGAAUAACGAGGAGAAGAAAAAAGAAGAGAAGGAGGAGGAAGAGAAGAUGAAUAAAAUGGACUCAAUCAUUACAAAGCGAGAGGGAGCAGAGGAAGAGGCAGCACCACCACCACCACUACUACUACUACUACUACUACUACUAGUACUACUAUUAACACCACCACUACUACUACUACAAUUUUAAGUAUGCACACAGAGAGAGAGAGAGAGAGAGAGAGAGAGAGAGAGAUUUAAGCCUUAACCAGUAUGGUGUUUAAUGUUUCAUUUAUUUGCUAUCUUAUUGGUUUACCAAUUAUUAUUGUUGUUGUUGUUGUUGUUGUAAUCAUCAUCAUCAUCAUCAUCAUCAUUACUAUUGCCAUUAUGAUGUUUUGUCAAGGAUUACAUCAGGAGAUGCAAGUCAAUAAGGGAAUAAGGCCCUCCUCCUCCUCCUCCUCCUCCUCCUCCUCCUCCUCCUCCUCCUCUUCUCCUCCUCCUCUUCUCCUCCUCUUCCUCUUCUCCUCUUCUCCUCCUCCUCCUCUUCUCCUCCUCUCCUCCUCCUCCUCCUCUUCUUCUUCUCCUCCUCCUCUUCUUCUCCUCCUCCUCUCCUCCUCUUCUCCUCCUUCUCCUCCUCUCCUCCUCCUCUCCUCCUCCUCCUCCUCCUCUCCUCCUCCUCCUCCUCCUCCUCCUCCUCCUCCUCCUCCUCCUCCUCCUCCUCCUCCUCCUCCUCCUCCUCCUCCUCCUCCUCCUCCUCUCCUCCUCCUCCUCCUCCUCCUCCUCCUCCUCCUCCUCCUCCUCCUCCUCCUCCUCCUCCUCCUCUUCUUCUUCUUCUUCUUCUUCUUCUUCUUCUUCUUCUUCUUCUUCUUCUUCUUCUUCUUCUUCUCCUCCUCCUCCUCCUCCUCCUCCUCCUCCUCCUCCUCCUCCUCCUCCUCCUCCUAAUCCUAAUCCUCCUCUUCUCCUCCUCUUCUCCUCCUCUUCUCCUCCUCCUCUUCUCCUCCUCCUCCUCUUCUCCUCCUCCUCUUCUUCUUCUUCUUCUUCUUCUUCUUCUUCUUCUUCUUCUUCUUCUUCUCCUCCUCCUCCUCCUCCUCCUCCUCCUCCUCCUCCUCCUCCUCCAUAAUGUCUUUCUUCACCACUUGAAUAUUUCAGUCUAUCAUGUGUUUUUAACCUAUUUAUAUAUCCUCAUCCUCCUCUCAAGCCAUUUAGCUUCAAAUUUCAUGUAGUGUUUUUCUUUUUUGUGCUGCGGGGAGAACUCUCACCUCGGAGAGGGUCUAUUUCAGUCCGAUUUUUCGUUUGUACCGGGUGUCGAGAUCCCGUCAGAAAAAUGGUGGCGUCUAUUUUAAGUGAUCAAAAAAUUCCUUGCAGUUAAAGUUAAUUAGAUAAAGUCAAAUUAUUCUUGAUUACUGCCUGCUUGUGUUACACCUGCUGGAGUUCUUGCCAAAUCACACACAGGUGGUGCCCAAGUACAUGGCACUCAGCUAGAAAAUGGUUUGGCGCACAUCCACGCAGGGUAACUGGAGUCAGUGGCCAAGGAUUUAUUAGUCUUGUUUUCAAACAAAACAAUUACAGAUUCAAGAUUUGAAUGUGUGAUGUCUUUUUUGACCACUUGAUAGAAGCUGUCCCUCAUCCCAGGCCCGUUUUGCUUUUUUGUACUGCGGGGAGAACUCCCACCUCGGAGAGGGUCUAUUUCAGUCCGAUUUUUCGUUUGUACCGGGUGUCGAGAUCGCGUCAGAAAAAUGGUGGCGUCUAUUUUAAGUGAUCAAAAAAUUCCUUGCAGUUAAAGUUAAUUAGAUAAAGUCAAAUUAUUCUUGAUUACUGCCUGAUUGUGUUACACCUGCUGGAGUUCUUGCCAAAUAACCAACUGGUGAUGCCCAAGUACAUGGCACUCAGCUAGAGAUGGUUUGGCGCACAUCCACGCAGGGUUACAGGGUAACUGGAGUCAGUGGCCAAGGAUUUAUUUGUCUUGUUUUCAAACAAAACAAUUACAGAUUCAAGAUUUGAAUGUGUGAUGUCUUUUUUGACCACUUGAUAGAAGCUGUCCCUCAUCCCAGGCCCGUUUUGCUUUUUUGUACUGCGGGGAGAACUCCCACCUCAGAGAGGGUCUAUUUCAGUCCGAUUUUUCGUUUGUACCGGGUGUCGAGAUCGCGUCAGAAAAAUGGUGGCGUCUAUUUUAAGUGAUCAAAAAAUUCCUUGCAGUUAAAGUUAAUUAGAUAAAGUCAAAUUAUUCUUGAUUACUGCCUGAUUGUGUUACACCUGCUGGAGUUCUUGCCAAAUAACCAACUGGUGAUGCCCAACUAAAUGGCACUCAGCUAGAGAUGGUUUGGCGCACAUCCACGCAGGGUUACAGGGUAACUGGAGUCAGUGGCCAAGGAUUUAUUUGUCUUGUUUUCAAACAAAACAAUUACAGAUAAAGUCUAAUUAUUCUUGAUUACUGCCUGAUUGUGUUACACCUGCUGGAGUUCUUGCCAAAUAACCAACUGGUGAUGCCCAACUAUAUGGCACUCAGCUAGAGAUGGUUUGGCGCACAUCCACGCAGGGUUACAGGGUAACUGGAGUCAGUGGCCAAGGAUUUAUUAGUCUUGUUUUCAAGCAAAACAAUUACAGAUUCAAGAUUUGAAUGUGUGAUGUCUUUUUUGACCACUUGAUAGAAGCUGUCCCACAUCCCAGGCCCGUUUUUCUUUUUUGUACUGCGGGGAGAACUCCCACCUCGGAGAGGGUCUAUUUCAGUCCGAUUUUUCGUUUGUACCGGGUGUCGAGAUCGCGUCAGAAAAAUGGUGGCGUCUAUUUUAAGUGAUCAAAAAAUUCCUUGCAGUUAAAGUUAAUUAGAUAAAGUCAAAUUAUUCUUGAUUACUGCCUGAUUGUGUUACACCUGCUGGAGUUCUUGCCAAAUAACCAACUGGUGAUGCCCAACUAUAUGGCACUCAGCUAGAGAUGGUUUGGCGCACAUCCACGCAGGGUUACAGGGUAACUGGAGUCAGUGGCCAAGGAUUUAUUUGUCUUGUUUUCAAACAAAACAAUUACAGAUAAAGUCUAAUUAUUCUUGAUUACUGCCUGAUUGUGUUACACCUGCUGGAGUUCUUGCCAAAUAACCAACUGGUGAUGCCCAAGUACAUGGCACUCAGCUAGAGAUGGUUUGGCGCACAUCCACGCAGGGUAACUGGAGUCAGUGGCCAAGGAUUUAUUAGUCUUGUUUUCAAACAAAACAAUUACAGAUUCAAGAUUUGAAUGUGUGAUGUCUUUUUUGACCACUUGAUAGAAGCUGUCCCUCAUCCCAAGCCCGUUUUUCUUUUUUGUACUGCGGGGAGAACUCUCACCUCGGAGAGGAUCUAUUUCAGUCCGAUUUUUGGUUUGUACCGGGUGUCGAGAUUGCGUCAGAAAAAUGGUGGCGUCUAUUUUAAGUGAUCAAAAAAUUCUUUGCAGUUAAAGUCAAAUUAUUUUUUAUUUUGGUUUGCUUUAAUAAUAAUGAGAGAAAAGGAAGCCACUAUUACAGCUGCUGCUGCUGCUCCUGCUGCUACUACUACUACUACUACUACUACUACUACUACUACUACUACUACUACUACUACUUUUUCUUCUUCUACUUCUACUUCUACUACUACUACUACUACUACAACAAUUAUUAACAGCAACACUACUACUACUACUACUACUACUACUACUACUACUACUACUACUACUGCUGCUACUACUACUACUAGUACAAUUAUUAACAGCAAUACUACUACUACUGCUAGUACAAUUAUUAACAGCAAUACUACUACUACUACUACUACUGCUACUGCUACUACUACUUCUACUACUACUACUACUACGACUACUGCUACUACUACUACUACUACUACUACUACUACUACUACUACUACUAACUACUAUUACUACUUUUUUUUACAUAAUCUAAUAUAAUACCUCCACCCCAUGUUUAUUGAUGUGUCAAUUAGGGGCUCCAUUACUUGGAGGUCAUUAGCCCCAGCUCCCGCUAAUGACUGUGGCAUCCAACCAUAUCUAAUAUUCUAUAAUAUAAACAUUAGUUGUUAACUAUAAAUUCAUUCUACCUCUACUCUAUCUACUCUUAUGCCACUCUCCACUACUAUUACUACUGCUGCUGCUGCUGCUGUUGCUGCUGCUGCUGCUGCUGCUGUUUCUACUACUGCUAUUACUACUACUGCUGCUACUACUACUACUACCACUACUACUACUACUACUACUAUAUUACUACAGUUUUGAAUAUGCACACAGAAUGAGAGAGAGAGAGAGAGAGAGAGAGAGAGAGAGAGAGAGAGAGAGAGAGAGAGAGAGAGAGAGAUUUAAACCCUAAAAGCAGUAUGGUGUUUAAUGUUCAUGUAAUUGAUAUCAUAUUGGUUUAUUCAUUAUUAUUAUUAUUAUUUGUUAUUUUAUGCUGGUGCUGUUGUUGUUGUUGUUGUUGUUGUUGUUGUUGUUGUUGUUGUUGUUGUUGUUACCAUUAUCAUGUUAUUUUGUCAAGGAUUACAUCAGGAGGUGCUGGUCAAUAAGGGAAAGUGUAAGAAUCUGUCAAGCAUACAUGUAACAGGUCCUUUUUUUAUUUUUAUUUAUUUAUUUAUUUAUUUUAUUUUUUUUUUUCUAUUUUUUAUUUUUUAUUUUUUUUUCCAUUGCAGUAGUGGUAAUAGUAGAAGUAGUAGUAGUAAUGAUUAAUGUUUACUGUUUAUCCUGUUGUUAACUGGGAAAAUUCUCCUGUAUUAUUGUUGUUGUUGCUAUUAUUAUUAUUAUUAUUAUUAUUAUUAUUAUUAUUAUUAUUAUUAUUAUUAUUAUUAUUAUUAUUAUUAUUGUUGUUGUUCUGUACUCCUGAGUGUUAUUCUGUAAUUGUAUUUUCGAGCGCCGUUCCAAUGUAUUCCCGAGCGCCAUUCCGUUGUAUUCCUGAGUGUCGUUCUGUUGUUGUAUUCCUGAGCCCCGUUCCGUUGUAUUCCCGAGCGCCGUUCCAUUGUAUUCCCGAGCAUCAUUCCGUUGUAUUCCCGAGCGCCGUUCCAUUGUAUUCCCAAGCGCCAUUCCGUUGUAUUCCUGAGCGCCGUUCUGUUGUAUUCCUGAGCGCCGUUCCGUUGUUGUAUUCCCGAGCGUCAUUCCAUUGUAUUCCUGAGCGCCGUUCCGUUGUUGUAUUCCCGAGCGUCAUUCCAUUGUAUUCCUGAGCGCCGUUCCGUUGUUGUAUUCCCGAGCGUCAUUCCAUUGUAUUCCUGAGCGCCGUUCCGUUGUUGUAUUCCCGAGCGCCGUUCCGUUGUUGUAUUCCUGAGCGCCGUUCCGUUGUUGUAUUCCCGAGCGUCAUUCCAUUGUAUUCCUGAGUGCCGUUCCGUUGUUGUAUUCCCGAGCGCCGUUCCGUUGUUGUAUUCCUGAGCGCCGUUCCGUUGUUGUAUUCCCGAGUGCCGUUCCGUUGUUGUAUUCCUGAGCGCCGUUCCGUUGUUGUAUUCCCGAGUGCCGUUCCGUUGUUGUAUUCCUGAGCGCCGUUCCGUUGUUGUAUUCCCGAGUGCCGUUCCGUUGUUGUAUUCCCGAGUGCCGUUCCGUUGUUGUAUUCCCGAGCGCCGUUCCGUUGUUGUAUUCCUGAGCGCCGUUCCGUUGUUGUAUUCCUGAGCGCCGUUCCGUUGUUGUAUUCCUGAGCGCCGUUCCGUUGUUGUAUUCCCGAGUUCCGUUCUGUUGUUGUAUUCCUGAGCGCCGUUCCGUUGUUGUAUUCCCGAGUGCCGUUCCGUUGUUGUAUUCCCGAGUGCCGUUCCGUUGUUGUAUUCCCGAGUGCCGUUCCGUUGUUGUAUUCCCGAGUGCCGUUCCGUUGUUGUAUUCCCGAGUGCCGUUCCGUUGUUGUAUUCCUGAGCGCCGUUCCGUUGUUGUAUUCCUGAGCGCCGUUCCGUUGUUGUAUUCCUGAGCGCCGUUCCGUUGUUGUAUUCCUGAGCGCCGUUCCGUUAUUGUAUUCCUGAGCGCCGUUCCGUUGUUGUAUUCCUGAGCGCCGUUCCGUUAUUGUAUUCCUGAGCGCCGUUCCGUUGUUGUAUUCCCGAGCGCCGUUCCGUUAUUGUAUUCCUGAGCGCCGUUCCGUUGUUGUAUUCCCGAGCGCCGUUCCGUUAUUGUAUUCCCGAGCGCCGUUCCGUUGUAUUCCCCAGCGCCGUUCCGUUCUUGUAUUCCUGAGCGCCGUUCCGUUAUUGUAUUCCCGAGCGCCGUUCCGUUGUAUUCCCCAGCGCCGUUCCGUUCUUGUAUUCCUGAGCGCCGUUCCGUUGUUGUAUUCCUGAGCGCCGUUCCGUUGUAUUCCCGAGUGCCGUUCCGUUGUUGUAUUCCCGAGCGCCGUUCCGUUGUUGUAUUCCUGAGCGCCGUUCCGUUGUUGUAUUCCCGAGUGCCGUUCCGUUGUUGUAUUCCUGAGCGCCGUUCCGUUGUUGUAUUCCCGAGUGCCGUUCCGUUGUAUUCCUGAGCGCCGUUCCGUUGUUGUAUUCCCGAGUGCCGUUCCGUUGUUGUAUUCCUGAGCGCCGUUCCGUUGUUGUAUUCUUGAGCGCCGUUCCGUUGUUGUAUUCCCGAGUGCCGUUCCGUUGUUGUAUUCCCGAGUGCCGUUCCGUUGUUGUAUUCCUGAGCGCCGUUCCGUUGUUGUAUUCCUGAGCGCCGUUCCGUUGUUGUAUUCCCGAGCGCCGUUCCGUUGUAUUCCCGAGUGCUGUUCCGUUGUAUUGCCGAGCGCCGUUCCGUUGUAUUCCCGAGCGCCGUUCCGUUGUAUUCCCGAGCGCCGUUCCGUUGUAUUCCCGAGCGCCGUUCCGUUGUAUUCCUGAGCGCCGUUCCGUUGUAUUCCCGAGUGCCGUUCCGUUGUAUUGCCGAGCGCCGUUCCGUUGUAUUCCCGAGCGCCGUUCCGUUGUAUUCCCAUGGGUUUCACUGGCCUGUUAUUAUUAUUAUGAUGUAUUAUAGUUGUGUGUAUUUCAGUCUAUUUAUUAUAACAUUAUUAUUAUUAUUAUUAUUAUUAUUAUUAUUAUUAUUAUUAUUAUUAUUAUUAUAUAAUUUGUAAUUGCUGUUACUAUUAUUGCUUCUUAUAAUUAUGAUCUGCACCUAUACUUUUCACCUAUUAUAAAAUGUAUAGACCCACCCAGUAUGACUAUAUCCUAACCACAGUGCUACAUGGCCCUGUAGCCUGUGGCAUCCCUCAUUAUUAGGAUUUAUUUAUUUAUAUAUUUUUACUACUACUACCACUACCACCAUUAUUCAGUAGAGUUUAUGUAUUUAUUUAUGUAUUUUUUUUUUAUUUUAUUUAUUUAUUUAUUUAUUUACUUAUUUUUACUAUUACUAUACUGCUACUACUACCACUACCACCAUUAUUCAGUAGAGUUUGGAUGGUGUUUUUAAAAUGUUGCUGUAUAUUUAUUAUUGUACUUGUUUGUUUUGUGUGAUAUAUAUAUAUAUAUAUAUAUAUAUAUAUAUAUAUAUAUAUAUAUAUAUAUAUAUAUAUAUAUAUAUACAUACAUACAUACAUACAUACAUACAUAUUCUGGGGGGAAAUAAAAGUUUACCCACGACACGGGGAAGUGAGAAUUUGAGAGGGAGGUUAAGAAAAAAAAAAAAAAAAAAACUCGAGUCUUAACGAGAGUAGGAGGUAGAGUUCCUACGAGCACAAAAUUAACAAAUAUACAAAGAAAAGAAAAUACAGAAUAUAAAGGACGGAAAAUGUGGCUAGAGAAUAAAAAUUGAGAACGAGAUCCACCAUAACAAGAGUUACGAAGAACAAGAAAACGGUACAGGAAGAGAAAAUAUUCCAGACAAAUGUAGAUGGCUAGGCAUGUAAUAUUCUUUGUUUUUAAGUUAUAGAUGAGACGGGCUUAGAGAAGUGGGAAGGAGGAAUAAGGAGAAAUAGUGGAUAAAAGAAUUAAUGUAUGGGGGCAAAGACUGGCGGACAUAUGGAUAAUCUGCGAGGGAUAGAGAGAGAAAAGUAAUGAAUCGAUUAUUUGCCCAGAUAAGUGGAAGUGCCCCUUCUAGGAAUGCUGUUGGCCAAAUUCUAGCGGGUCUGCCUAUGCAUAGUGAUUAAAUGGUAUUUUUUUUUUUUUUUUUAAUGUGGGUGUUGAACGAUGUCAGCAACGUGAAGGGCGGCAUUAUCAAGGAAAUAUGUAGCAUAGUAAUUGCAGUGAGAAAAAAAAAGGAAACCACAAUAUUUCGUAAUACAUGAUAACGAGCACGAUAUCAGGAAAAGUACUAAAGAAUGACUACUUGCAGGUAAGUUUACCGUUUAAUUGAACGGUACGUAAUGUUUAAUGUUAUGUUAAUGCAAUACCAUUUCGCAAGUGUAGUGUGUAAUGUGUAAUAAUACAUCAAGGUGUGGUAGGUCGGUCACUGGAGUAGGCUUCGUAAUGUAAAUUCGUAAAUUUGGGGGUGAAAACAGUUCAAGAAGGAUUAGCACGACAGGAUUAUGACUUCAUUAGGGCCUCAGCCUGACCUUCCACCGAGGUCACACGCUAUUAACCCCUUGGGAUGAUUAAUUGACCUGUGGAUCAAACCACCUUACAAGGUCCACUCCCUCCAUUCAACAAUCUGUUAGGUUUGUCUUCUGUUGUGCUCAGUAGAGGACUUUUUAAGUCUUGCUUGAGGGAAGAAGCAGUCACGCAGGUAAAGGUCUGAGGUGAGGAUAGAAGGGAUGAAAGACAAAAGCCUGUGCAGAAGAGAGAGUGAAAACGGAAGGGUGAAAAUCUUACAGAAAACGGAGUGCUAGGAGCGGUGACUUGUGUCCCGCUACAGAUGUGUCCGGAAGGGGGAGAUGGGUGUGUUGGAAUGUCAGGUCAUGCUGAAAUGAGAGAGGUGAGGUCGAGGCGAGUAGCCGAGGGAGUGGAGGAUGGUAGGGGACGAAAUGAGGGGAUUAGGUGAAGUAAAUGUAGAUGAAUUGUAUAAAUAUUUCGUAAAGUUCAUACAGAUCAGUUAGCAGAUAUCCCGUAUAGAACAAUAUAAAAAAAAAAAAAAAUACGCUAAAUGGAUGGCUGCUAGGUUAAAGCAUUUUAUAUGGCGUAAGAAGUUUAUAUAAGAGAUUAAGGGCAGGUGAAGAAGUUUUAAGGACACAAUGAAUUAGAACAGUCAGAAGUUAACGAGGAAAGCGAAGGACAAUUAUGAAUUAAAGGUAGCCAGCCAGGCGAAGACGGACCCCAAGGGAUUUUAUCUGAUAUACAGGACGAAGAAUAAGGAUACUGUAGGUCCAUUAAAGGCAGCAGAUGAAGAGCUGGUUAGUUCUGGGGAGGAGAUAAGUAAACUUGAAUGGUUAUUUUUUAACUGUCUUCACCCAGGAAAACAUUCAGGAUAUGCCAGAUAGUGAACAGGUGUGUAGAGCAGAUGAGAAUGAGAAGCUGACAGAUAUUUCCAUAACUAGGGAGAUAGUGGAACAGGAGAUAGGCUAAAAAAAAAGUUCAAGACACCAGGACCUGAUGAAAUAUAUCCCAGAGUACUUAAGGAAUGUAAAGAGAUUAUUAGUGAGCCGUUAGUUUCUGUCUUAAGGAAAUCACGAGUCGGGUGAGGUACCAGUAAUGUGGAGGCAGGCUAAUGUAGUACCCAUCUUUAAGAAGGGAGAUAAAACUUUAGCGUCUAAUUACAGACCUGUCAGCUUAACUUCAGUUGUAGGUAAAAUGUUAAGAGUCAAUAAUAGCGAGGAACAUUAGGGAACAUUUAGACAAACAUAACUUGAUAAAUCCGUCACAGCAUGGCUUCACGAAGGGGAAGUCUUGCCUGACAAACUUGUUAAGUUUUUACAGUAAGGUGCACGAGGCAGUAGAUAAUGGUGAUGGUUAUAUCUUAUAUCAGGACUAGUAAAGCAUUUGACAAGGUACCCCAUCAAAGGCUCCUGAGAAAGGUUAGGGCACACUGGAUGGGAAAGUGUUAGGCUGGAUAGGGUCAUGGCUUGGUAACAGGAGACAGAGUGGUAAUAAACGGCUCGAAAUCCGAGUGGGGUCAUGUAAUUAGUGGGGUGCCACAGGGAUCAGUAUUAGGGCCAUUGUUAUUUCUAAUAUAUAUCAAUGACUUGGACAGUGGAAUUAGUAGUGAUGUUAGUAAAUUUGCGGAUGACAAAGAUUAAUUAGGUCAGAAUCGGAUGCCAUCGCCUUGCAGGCAGACUUAGAAUGAAUGAAUGGACGGAUAGAUGGCAAAUGCAAUUUAAUAUCAAUAAAUGCAAAGUGCUUAGCGUAGGCAGAGGAAACCCACACAAUAAGUACACAUUAAACAACCAAACUCUGGUAGGUACAAGGUACGAGAAAGAUUUAGGAGUUAUAGUUAGCUCAGAACUCCGUCUAGGGAAACAAUGCAUAGAAGCCAGAAACAAGGCAAAUAGGGUACUAGGAUUCAUUUUUAGGAGUGUUAAAAGUAGAAGCCCGGAAGUAAUAUUAAAGUUAUACUUGGCGCUGGUCAGACCUCAUCUAGACUACGCUGUGCAGUUCUGGUCCCCACAUUACAGGAAAGAUAAAGGUCUAUUAGAAUCAGUACAGAGGAGAAUGACAAAGGAUACAGGGGAUGAGGAGUAUUCCUUACGAGGCGAGGUUGAAGCUGUUAAAUUUACAUUCUUUAGAGAGACGUAGGUUAAGAGGGGACCUGAUAGAAGUCUUAAAGUGGUAUAAGGGUUAUAACAAGGGAGAUGUAAGCAAAAUUCUUAGGAUCAGUAACCAGAGUAGAACAAGAAAUAACGGGUUCAAGCUUAAAAAAAAUUAGGUUUAGGAAGGAGAUAGGAAAAAAUUGGUUCUCAAAUAUAGUGGUAGAUGAGUGGAACGGACGCAGUAAUCAUGUAGUUAGUGCUAGGACACUAGAGAGCUUUAAAAGAAAAUUAGACAAGUUUAUGGGUGGGGAUAACAGAUAGAAAUAGGUAUAUUUCAUACAGGGACUGCCACGUGUAAGCCUGGUCGCUUCUUGCAGCUUCCCUUAUUUCUUAUGUUCUUAUGUUCUUAUGAGUGUUGCAGUUAAAAUGGGCAAGUGAGCGAAAUAUGGAAGAAAAAAUAUAAAGAAUGGGAAAAAAGAUGUUCUCAGAGAAUAGAUUGCUUGGUGUACCUGACGACGACUCUUGCAGCGUGCAAGUUCUGAAAGACAACAAUUAGAGCUCACCACAGUGGUCUUGUUAAUCACACUACAACGGAGAAACGGAAAAAAAAUACAGCCUCAUUCUCGAACAUGAGAACGUUAUUUCAGUCUGAUGUAACAAAAGCAAGUGCCAACAAGUGUGAAAAUUUCUAAACUGAAAUUAGUAGCUCACAUUGCUUGCCAUUCAAGUGUAAUAUUUAUCGUAUUUUGCAGUGUUUUCCUGGUGUUUCCACGUCUUUCUAGACUCAGACGUGUAGAUAAGAGUAGAAUGAGUAAGAAAAUAAGAGAAAUAGAGGAGGAAGAUGAAGGGAGAAGGAAUAGAGGAGGUGGUAAAACAGAAAAAUGCUAAGAAAACAAUAUUUAGGUUAAUUUUCCCUGCUGCCCUGUCUGUCUUUGUAGUAUUUGUCUUCCUUGACAGUGCUUUCAGUGUAUUUGGCGUGUUUAGGGGGUGUUGGAGUGUGUCUGGAGAUGUUUAGGGGGUGUUGGAGUGUGUGUUUUAGGGAUUUGGUGAUGUUUGAGUCAAUAUUUAGCGUUCCUGGUGUGUUUUGGGGUGUCUUAGGCUUGUUUAGGAGUGCUUUAAGUGUGCUUUGGACUGUUUUCAAUGUUUUGAGAUGUUUCAAGUGUAUUUUGGGAUGUUAUGGAUGAGUUUGGGUGUGUUUUGUGUGGAUACAGGUGAGUUGUGUCUGCGUUUGUGGGUAUUUUUGGGUAUUUCAGGUCAGUCUGGGUGUGUUUUGGGGUGUUUUAAGUGUGUUUUGGCCCGUUUUCAGCGUUUUGGGAUGUUAUGGAUGAGUUUGAGUGUGUUUUGGGUUGGUACGGUGUGUUUUGGAUGCGUUUUAAGUCAAUUUAGGUGAGUUUUGGAGUAUUUUAAGUGUGUUUGGGGAUAUUUUGGUGCUUUUUCGAUGUGUUUAGGUUGUUUUUUUGUGCGUUUAGGAAUGUUCUGGGUAUGUUUAAGGUGUUUUAAGGUGUUUUAGUGUGAUUGGACUUGCUUUUGAGUUGUUUUGGUUAUGUUAUAGGCAUGUUGCAGGUAAGAAUGGGGUCUUUGAGGGUAGAAGUGGUGUGCUUGAGGUAAAAUAAAAGAUUCUGGAGUGUUUUUGAGAGAGGCUGUGAUAGUAGAAGCGUGUCAGGGGUGUUAUAGCGUAUGUUGUGAUAUAUGAAACUACUAGAUGCAAGUGUGUGACCACCACCACCACCACCACCACCAGCACAGUGGAAAAAAGGGACUUUACACUAAGGCUGGUUACUGUGUACACGAAUGUGGUGGUACAAAUACUGAAUUCAGCUCACCAAUCUAGCUCUGAGAGCAACGGCAACCCUCCGAUCCGGCAGGCAAGUUGGCGGCAGCGAUGGCGGUGGCGGCGGCAGCGGUGGUGAGGUGGACGGCAGGGACAGAGGGGCAGUACAGGCUGCGGACAUCAAGGAGAAGAGGAACGCACGGACAAGCAAGGUGGCACUCGGCAGUCUGAUCCUGGACCUGCGCAGCUUGACGGUGGUGGUGCCUCUGUCUCCUGCUCUCCUUGACUAUUACCCCAAGCAUGACUCCAGCGGCUUGUAUUCCUCUGUGUGGUAAUAAGUCUGUGUGGCUUAUUACCAGCAUAUCAUCAGCGUCCCUGCAAGGUUCCAUUCUGUCUUGUCUGGUGGGCCUAAUGAUGAUGAUUCCUGCUUUCAUCCUCAUCGGGGCUAACGAGACCAACCUGGGGCUGUACUCUGGACUGACGCUGUAUGCCAUAGAGACCGGCGUGCCCUUGUGUCUUCCCUGCGGCUGUUGUCCCUGGUCCACGGUCUGAACUUCCAAGCCGGCUGCCGAGUGGGGCGGUUGAACUGCGACGACUUUUACAUCCCAGAAAUUGCAGAGAAAAUUGAUAUUAGGAAUGAUUACUUGAACUGGAUGAACAGCAGGCUUCACCCGAUGUCCAGGAGGGAGAGUCCAAUCCUGUUCUGUGAGUAUCCAUUCUUGUUCGACCCUCAGGCCAAGAUGCUGCUGCUCAGGUGUGACGCCACUCGGCAGGGCGAAUGUUUCCCAGACCACCCGGUCAUACGCACGUUCUGGGAAGUAUUUCACAAACUCUCCCUGGAGCAGAAGAAGUUGUUUUUGAAGUUCCUGACGGGCACUGACAGGGUUCCUAUUCUGGGCCUGAAGGCACUCAAGUUGAUGAUCCAAAGCACAGCAGACGACAGCUUCCUUCCGGUCGCACACACCUGCAUCACCCAGACUGUGGAACGUCUUCGCGUCCUCCGUCCCUCACAUCAGGGGGAUGGAUACCCAGGACGUGAAGUUAACAGCACACCACUGGAGGGGCUCGUUCCCAACCCUCCUGCUAACAAUAUUAACAUAAGUCCAUAAAGAAUGUAUAUAUAUGUAUAUAUAUCUUUAUAUUUAUAUUUGUGUUGUAUCACACCCCUAAAACAGGUUGCACGUGGCAGUGCGCCUUCAGCUGAUAAUGUACCUUCGGAUGAUAAUGUACCUACCGUAUUUGAUGGCUCAUAAGACGCACGGGCUCAUAAGACGCACCCAGUUCUGGCAUGUAUUGAAAUAGAAAAAAACAAAAAUUAACAGAUUUAGGCUAUCGAUAUGAAGUCAAGGAAUUCAAGCGACAUUUGAAGACUCUCACGUGCAUUUAGAUCACUAUUAGAUACCAAUACUCAGCAUUUAAAAGUUUAAUUUAUGCUAGCAGCUUACUUGUUCUUUUUGGGGUUUUGUUGAGGCUGUGAUGGCCGUGACAUCACAGCCUGGCGUCCCAAAGGUGUGGUAUACAGGUAGUGUUUCAGACUAGAUACAGUGGAGCUGGUUGGAUUUCUGGAGUCAAAUCUUGGUAAGGUUGCGGGCCUUGAAAGCCAGAACGUAAUGGUUCGGUUGAGGGUAUUGAAAGACAAGAUUGUACCAAUCCUGCUGACGUGUAAACACAAUCUUCUUAUUGGUAUUUUAGUUGGGGCCAUGCAGACUGUGAUGUCACAGCCUCUAGUGCCCAAAAGGUGUGGUAAGCAGGGGAGUUUCAGUCUUAAUGCGGUUCAGCUGAAUGUAAACAUUAACUGCACCUAGCUCUUGGCGGCACCAUUAACUGAGGGACUACAGUGAUAAUAAAAUUUUUUCAUACUUUAUUUUUUAGCAUCUUUCACAUGUAAUUCUUAUGCAGUAUUUUAGUACAUUUUCAAAGCCAAAGGAUGUGUAAAAGCAUAAGCUAUUACAUGAAUAUUAUGCAGAUCAUCACCUCAAGCCAGCCUAUCCCAUGACACUCAAUUCCUUUAUAGAAGAAAUAUUCGUUCUCAAGGUGUAUUAGUCUAUUUUCAUAAAAGAAAAGUUUCUCUAGCUUCAAUCUUUUUCAUAUGUAUGCAAAGCAAGAAUGUUAAAAAGAUAGGUUCAAUUUUAAUUGUAUGAAAGUGUGGCUAUUGUCUUACCUCAAUCAGUAACGGCGUCACACUCGGUGUCACCGAGUACGUCACGUCGGAGCGCAACCGACCGCGUUUGUUUUGAAAAACGUGGUGCACCAUCUCCACCUUGCCAGAACCUUCUCCACAAAUCCAACCAGCUCCAUCACAUCUAGUCUAAUAUUAUAAUUGGAUACCUCACCUUUGGGGCAUCAAAGGCUGUGACAUCACAACCUACACUGCCCCAACAAAACUCCAAGAAGAAGUGGUGCAUGGUUAAGCAAAUUCUUCCUGACUGGUCAAAGUCUAUGUGGAUUACCAGUAAGUAUGAGAUACUACACAUUGGUACCUUGAAAGAAAGAGCAUUUUGUGGCGUACUACCAAUCAUGACUUUAUUUAGUUGUGCAAAGACAUCUGUGGUUUGAAUUUAGAGCCUCUGUUGCCGUAGACUUGUAACCUAUUACUGCCUCAAAGUUGGACCUUUGCCUCAUUGGACGCAGGCUAAUUUACUGACCCUUUUUCUGAGAAAAAAGUAGCGUCUUAUGAGCUAUCAAAUACGGUAUAUCUAAAUUCUUGAAUAAAGUGCAUUCUCUGUUAAAAUAAA